GCUGGGAUUGUAUAGUGGUUAGUACUCUGCGUUGUGGCCGCAGCAACCCCGGUUCAAAUCCGGGUCAUGGUA
rnacentral:tRNA from 1 species